UUCUAUUCACUAAUCUAUUUAUUUUUAAAUUGCCUCUUAUUCACAAUAAUUACCACGAAACAAGGUACAACCCAUACCUCCUUAUACAAAAAGAUGUGGAUUGCAAAAAUUUUGCUCUUAAAGCUCUGUUUGUCUUGAGGUAAAAUAUUUUCACAAAAAAUUGGUUUUAUUCAAAAUAUUUUACCCGUAAAAUGAUUGCAUGAAAUUUAUUUUGCAUUAUUUGGUUGCACACAAUAAAAUUGAGUUUCAACGGAGAUUUUUUUUCAUAUAUUUCAUGAGAUUUGUGUUGUCUAAAGAUUAAGUUGUUGUCCAGGGUUUGUGGUCCACAAAUGUGACGACCCGGAUUUUUACAAUCCUCAAAACAAAUACAUCUCCAAUAUCUACAAAGCGGAUAACAAAUCAAGUAGGAUCAUUCUGAACGUUUUUCCUUUGUAUCCUGAUACCCAGCUCAUUUCGGUAACACUUGCCAAGCACCACUCAAGUGAUCAACAUCUGUAUUGGCCCUUGGGCCCCAUAAAUAUUCUGGGCUCCCCGUAAGAUAGUCAAUCGUACAUCUUUCAUAAUUAUGUGACCCGGUGGAUUUGUACAUAUACCAAUCUGUUUCAUGGCUUUCAACCGAAUACUUUCCGUGUCACGAUAUAAGAAGUGACAACAAUUGAAUCAAGAAACUUAAAUAUCAAAUGCGUACAAAUAUAAGAGAAUCAAAGAACAUUCUUUGCAAAAAAAUUAAGCUAGAAAUGUAUGACACACUAUUCGAUACGUUAAUUAUGAUCGGUCAAUGAACCUCUAAGGCUUUUUUUGGAACCUUGUGGAAAAGAAGGAAGAGAAGAGAAAAUAAUUAACAAGAAAAAUGAAAGGAAAUUAAUUGUCAUUGUACUUAAUCCUCUAAUUAGCCAUUUUUCUUCUCUUUUUCCUCAAACCUAACAGGGAACGGGAGAGAAUUUUUGGACUCACCCCUCCAUCCUCCACGUUCCA